rnacentral:rRNA from 1 species
GGUUUGAUUAUGGCCUGUGAUUGAACGCUGGCGGGAUGCUUUGCCAUGCAAGUCGAACGGCGUUUAACGACUUCGGGUCUUCAGAAAGGGCGAGUGGCGAGAACGGGUGAGUAAUGUAUCGGAACGUGCCUAGUAGCGGGGGAUAACUACGAAAGCGUAGCUUAAUACCGGGCAUACGCCCUUCGGGGAAAGCGGGGGACCUUCGGGCCUCGCACCUCAUUAGGAGCGGGCUGAUAUCGGAUUAGCUAGUUGGUGGGUAACGGCUCACCAUGCCUGACGAUCCGUAGCUGGUUCGAUGACGACCAGCCACACUGGGACUGAGACACGGCCCAGACUUACGGGAGGCAGCAGUGGGGAAUUUUGGACAAUGGGGGAAUCUCCUGAUCCCAGCCAUCCCGCGUGUGCGAUGAAGGCCUUCGGGUUGUAAAGCACUUUUUGGCAGGAAAGAAACGGCACGGAUAAUACCCUGCGCAACUGACGGUACCUGCAGAAUAAAGCACCGGCUAACUACGUGCCAGCAGCCGUGCAGAAUACGUAGGUGCAAGGCAUCGGGAAUUAUCACGCGAAGGUGGCAGGCGUUCGGAAAGAAAGAUGUGAAAUCCCAGAGCCUUGCACUUUGGAACUGCAUUUUAACUACCGAGCGAGUGUACGAGGGAGGUGGAACUCCGUGUAGCAGUGAAAUGCGUAGAUAUGCGGAGGAACACCGAUGGCGAAGGCAGCCUCCUGGGAUAACACUGACGCUCAUGCACGAAAGCGUGGGGAGCAAACAGAUUAGAUACCCAAUAGUCCACGCCCUAAACGAUGUCAAUCCGCUGUUGGGGCCUUGGGCCCGGCAGCGCAGCUAACGUGAAGUUGACCGCCUGUGGGCGCUGGUCGCGACUAUAAACCGAAGACUGAUGGUAUCUCCGCACAAGCGGCGGAUGAUGUGGAUUAAUUCGAUGCAACGCGAAAACCUUACCUACCCGACAUGUCUGAAUCCCAGCAGAUUUGGGAGGCCGCAAGAGAACCGGAACACAGGUGCUGCAUGGCUGUCGUCAGCUCAAGUCUAGAGAUGUUGGUUAAGUCCCGCAACGAGCGUUAACCCUUGUCAUUAGUUGCUACGAAAGGGCACCUUAAUGAGACUGCCGGUGACAAACCGAGGAAGGUGGGGAUGAUGUCAAGUCCUCAUGGGCUCUUUGCGGUAGGGGCUUCACACGUCAUACAAUGGUCGGGACAGAUGGGUCGCCAACCCGCGAGGGAGCCAAUCCCGCAGAAACCCGAUCAGUCCGGAUCGCAGUCUGCAACUCGGACGUGUGAAGCUUCGGAACGCGUAAUCGCGGAUCAGCAUGUCGCGGUGAAUACGUUCCGGUCUUGUACAUAACGUCUGUCACACCAUGGGAGUGGUUUUACCAGAAGUAGUUAGCCUAAACCGUAAGGAGGGCGACGACGGUAGGAUUCAUGACUGGGGUGAAGUCGUAACAAGGUAA